UAGACUCUGGCGAUAGAGAAGACAGGGAUUAGACCUCCAUUCCCAGCUGAGGAAACCAAGGAAGCGCCUCAGCUUCUCUUUGGGAAACGCCGAGGAGCAGAGCGGCUGGCUCACGCCGCAGGUGAACGUUUCCCUUGGCGAGAAAGCGUCCAACAGUUUUCCGAGCAGUGGUGCCGUUUUACAUUCCCACCGCAGAAACUCGAGGGAUCCCUCCACUGCUCUUGUGACGGCCCUGAACUCAGCCCCCAGGAUCUUCAAGCAAUAAGAGUAUGGCUUUCUAUGACCUACAGAGUGUGGCCCGGGUCAGCCCUCAGGCUAAAAGAGGGAUCUUUUUAAGCCAAGUGUCCAAAUUGUCAGCUGGCAACAUACAAGCUGUAUUAUGCCACAAGACACUGAAAGCCAGUGAAGGAAUGAGGGUCAACCAUUUCCCGGUGUGAAAUUACCAGUUUUCCCUCAGGAUCCCGCCAGCUCUGUUUGUGACCUGUGACUAUCCUACGUAUGGACUAAGUGAGGGCACCAGUGUCAUGAGACACCUGAGGGGCUCCUGUCUGGAUCCAUCUCAAACCAAGUAAAGGCUGGAGGUUCCCCGGAGCACCUGGACGACACAGAAUUAGAAGGACAUCCUUUCCAGGCAUUGAUCUACUCGUCAGUCACCUUCCGUGAAGCUGCAAGUCUUUAGGGUCCCAGUUAAAGUGGGGGGUCCAUUAGAAUCCUCACCUCUGUUGGGUUGUAGGUCUUGCCUGUUACCUCCCAUCCAGCCCCAGGCAUUUGUCAAGAGAACAGCCCAGUUUUGCAGCUGUUUCUUUAGGAUUGGCAAAUGGCCUUGGGGCAAAAUCAAAUUUGAAUAUCAGUCUUUUUCUCUGGGUCUCCUCUUCUAUAUUUUGUCUUUGAAACUCCUCAUGACCUUGUUAACAUUUUGGUGCUUUUAAGAAGGUAUUUUUAAUAUUUUAUCCAGUUCUUUAGGUUUCCUUGGCGGGAAAGUUGGUGCAAAUUUCCUAGUCAUCACUUACUGGGAGUAGACAUUACAAUUUGUGUAUUCAUCAGAGGAAAGGAAGUUUUUCAUAGUCUUCUAUUUCUACUUCAUGUUUAUGAAUUUCUUAGUCUCUGUAAAGCACUUUACAUAUGACAAGGAUGGACUAUAUCCUACAGAACCAAACUUAUUAUGUAGCACUUAUCAAAUCCUUUCAAAGGACCCAAUCUGAUAUGACAUGCAAUAGUUCAUAAGAUAAUUUUAAGUCAUGACUACUUUUGACCUUUGGGAUUCAGUAUGAUAAACUUGUGCCCCACCAACUCAUAAAAAUAUAAUGGCAGAUCCAGUGAUCCAUAGAUAACAUGCAAACAUAACAUCACAUCCUACUAGGGGCACUUGCUCUUCCCACUGAAUGAAAGCCUCUCCCCUUCUCUUGCGUUUUUCAAUGUUUUCUCCACGCUUACCUUCUCAAUGAGGCUUUCCCUAAACACACUAUUUGAAACUGCAAACUCCCCCUCCUUCCCAUGCUUCUUAAUCUCCUCCUGUCCUUCUCUUUUCUCCAUCAUCCUCCACCAUCUUACAUGCUAUAUAUUAUAUAUCUUGGCUCUAUUUAUUACUGCCUCUCUGGUCUUGACAAAUCUGCUUACCCCCUCAACUCCUUGGUUCCUCUAGAUAUAAAAUAGGACUAAGAAAAGCAUCCCACCCUUCUUCAUAUGGAUAUUUCAUAGAUGAGGUGUAGUGAUAGAUCAGAAAGUGAUUCUAAAAAACUGUUUUUUAAAAAAUGAACCAAUGAAAAUUAUGAUAUCUAAAAAAACUUACUGAUGAGGUGUAGUGAUAGAUCAGAAAGUGAUUCUAAAAAACUGUUUUUUAAAAAAUGAACCAAUGAAAAUUAUGAUAUCUAAAAAAACUUACUGAUUGAGCUUGAUAGGAGAAUAGAGAGAACAGGAGAAAAAAAUCAGUGAACUUCAAAAUAGUUCAAUAGAAAUGACCCAAUAUGAAGAACAGAGAAGAGAGAUUGAAAAAAAUGAGCAGACCCUCAGGGAACUGUGGACAAUAUCCAAAGGUCUAAUAUAUGUGCAAUUGGAGUUGCUGAAGGAGAAGAGAGAAAAAUGGGGCAGUAAAGAAUAUUUGAAAAAAAGAAUAGAUGAAAAUUUUACAAAUUUGGAGAAAGGGAUAAAUAUACACAUUUAGGAAGCAGAGUAAACUUCACACAGAGCAGAUUUAAACACACACACACACACACACACACACACACACAUGCACUCCUAGGCAUGUCAGAGUCAAACUGCUAACAACCAAAGUUAAGGAAAAAAAUCUUGAAAGAACCCAAAGGUUGUGCCACAGAUUUGUUCCACACCAACUAAAAUACUGCAGCCAAAAUUUGCUGAACUUCAAGUUCUGGGGGGAAAUUUUCACUGGAGAAGAAAUCACAGCUUUUCACCACGUGGCACAUCCCGUGUCAAGGAGCUCACGGACGGCGAGUGUCAGGUAAGAUGGCCCCGGUGGCUGGAGAGGAGAUUAGCGGCUCCCCAUUUCCAUUUUGGUUGGGCAAGAGUCUGGAGGAGGCAGGAUGCUCUGGGCUCUCUGGAAGACAGAAAGAUUUUGACACAAAUAACCCUAGAAUCAGGGAAAGAGAGAAGUGAGAUGCUCAUGGUAAACUUGAGAACAGCCAGACCAGAGAGCGGAGCGCUGCUUGAAGCCAGGGGAAUUUCUGAAGUGGAAUUAGAGGAAAGGAAUUGGGGGGAUGGGGAAGACCCAGAAGAUGCUGGUUGUUUGACAGCAUUUGUUUCCCGGGCAUGAUUUUCUUCCUUUCUCUCCCGGUUCAGCCAGCGUCUUCUCAGGGCAGGCAGGUCUCCUGAGCGAGUGCUUUGAAAAGCAAGAAGACGAUUCUUCCCUUCCCUCUCACAAAUACCCCGUGCUGGAGAGAGCUGUAGAAAAAGCAGCUUUCCAGAGCAGAGUUGUGGCCUCGUUUUGGCAAAUGUGGCCUCUGUAGUUCACGGAGGCUGCUUUUAAUGAUUGGAAACAAAUAAGAACCCUCCCCACUCAGCCCCACAUAUAAACCCAAAGUUUGCGGCUUGUUGUAAUUAUAUUUUCCACACUAGACUGGAAAUAAGGUUCUGGUGUUUUUGUUUGUGAGGUAAGCCCCUUUUCCUCUUUUUGUUCCCCUUCCCUGCCCACCCACCCCAGCCCUCCCCACCUUUGUGCUUCAGGAUCAGUGGCCUGAGGGAUGGAGCAGAGGCACGGUCCAAGAAGCGGCUGGAGGCUGGAGGCGAGGGCCGCACCAGUCGUAGGCCAGGGCUGCACGCCGGGAAGGGACGGUGCCACCCCAGCAGCAUCGCAGCAAGUCUCCCGGCGUCUGCAGCUCUUCCUGUAACCAGAGGCCUUUUCCUGUGUUUGAACUCGCCACCAAUGGCUGUCCUACCAAAGGCCGCCUUCUCGGCACUGACAGCUGCUUCGAACGCCAGUCACUCAGCUCAUCCGCCCAGCUGCGCGCCUCUGCUCACAUCACUCUGAGGCCUCUGGUUUGUCGGCUUCAAAGCACCUCACAAGUGGGGCCUUGCCUCCCUCAGGGUGGGUGUCAAAGGAAGGCAAAGCCUAGCGAGACUCGUGACACCUCUGGAAUUCAGGCUAUAUCUCAUUUCGCAGAAGAAAUCAGGACAAAGAGGAGCCUACUGUCUACUCCCAGGGCCAUGUGAGCAGGAAGUGGAAGGACAGGGGCCAGGUCUGCCCGUGUGUAGUCUGAAGAGGGUCUCCCUCAUCCUUGCAUUUAAAACUGUUUUUCUCAAGGAGUCAGCCUCCUCAAAGGUGCCUCGGCGAUGGUGACAGUUGAGAGGGCAAAGGGAAGGGAAGGGGAAAGAGGAUGUUCCGUGGAUGGAACUCCACCCCCCAGAUGGGGCCUCUUCUUUUCGGUCUCAUUCGUUCACCUGUUCAUCCAACAACGUGUGUUGAGUAACUUGCAAGGUGACCUCCAGACACUGGCGAGACCACCACAAACAGGCGAAGUUGGGGUUCCCCUGAAAAUUAUGUUCUGUGCUCCGUAUUAGUUCCCAAGUAAGACUAUUUUUUGGUAAAAGGGUUCUGGUAACACCUUUUCAUUUUUAAAACAGUAAAAUCUUUCCAAUACCUAGCUUUUGAAGCAUUAACUGGUACUCCUCAAGCACACACACCAAGUGGAGACUUUGCCACUACACAAAGCCGCUUAGCUGCUGAUCUUCCAACGCCUGGUCAUUUAAAAUCUGUCAAGAAAAGACACCCACGAAGAGAACUUUUCCGGACAGCAUCACCUCCACUCGCUGACAAAGACACACAUGAUGUUAGGAUGCACGGAGAGAGCCUGUAAGCAGAAGAGAAGGGCUUUAUGCCACUCUGGAGGAAGACCAUGAAGAGACGAGCUCUACUGAAUUACGCAAGUGAACCUGGAGGAGAAUGCCCACUCACCUCUGGUCUGAUCAUAAAUCUACAGUUGCUUUUUAAUAUAACUUUUGACAUCCCUCACCUCGAAAAUGCCCACCUGCUUAUAUCAGAUAUUUGGAGCUCAGAAUGUAUUUUCCUGUAGAAACAACAAGUUCCUAAGUCAUUAUGUCCACAGGCCUGUCCUUAAGACCCACGAUAUGCUGUAACUAAAUGAUACCACCACCAAUCCACCAAGUCUAGCUGACUUGCCUUAGCAAACUGUCAGCCUGGGUUCUCAGGUGAUGCCUGGAGUACAUUCUCCAGUGCUAGGAGUUCAAAUGCUGAGUCCUGCUCCAUCCCUUAUCUACCCCUGAGCCAGCUUUGAGGAUGCCGCCAGCCUUUCAGUAACAGCCCGGGGAGUGUGCUGGAGGAAGGGGAACUCUGUAGGGUGCAUGUUAAGAGAUUUAGGCAUGGGGAUGCACCUUAGGACAGUGACAGCAAGACAAGCAGGCCAGGAGGGGGGAGUGGAGCAAAGGCAGGUAAGUCCUCACCUUUGGAGGCUCUGGAGGUGGAGAUGGGGGUAGGGACAUGGUGGAAGGUGUUGCCAUUCAAAAGUAAGAAUCUCAUAAGCCAGCUGUUUGUGUGCCAGGCACUGUGUUCAUUCUCCAACAGACCUUUGUCAUACAACAUAUCAGUGCAGCUCUCGAACCUUAUCAUCCCAUGGCCUCUGCAGCACUGACACGUCCACCUGCACCUCCCCAGAGCCCCACUGGCAUGACCAAAUUUAGACCAGACUUUACAGCUUUUCGUUGCUUCUACGCUGGCCCCUCCACAAUCCAUUCUUUGUGCACUGACCAAAAUAGGCUUUCUGAUAACUCCAGUCUGAUCGUGUCCCUCCCUGUGUAAAGUCUUGAAUGAUUUCCCGUCCAUCUUAGGAUCAAGUUCAGAAUCCCAACUCAGACCCGCCAGGCUGCCCCUUGUUUGGGCUGCCGCCUGCCCAUCUUUGCCCGGCGCCUGCCUGCGCCUUCUUCAGGACUCAUUUUCUUAGGAAGACCUUCCCUGACCUUGUGCGCAGAUUUGGUACCUGACUGCAAGCUCUCCUAACUCCCAGAUUUCCUCUUCAGAGCACUGGCCGAAGCUGUUAUUGUUUAGACCUUCGGGUUUGGCUUGGUCAAUGUGUCUCCUUGCCCAGGCAGAAAAAUCCAGAGCACAUUAACCACGCCUGUAAGACACGGUCACAUGGUCAUGAAAUGCUGGCAGGACGAGCCUCUGGGCCAUACGUGGUUAGCUCUUACGUUAUAACACGUGUUGUUCUCCACUUUUAGGGAGCAUUCAUUGAGUUCUGAUUAUGUGACAGCCAGUGUUUGUUUAAACGGCAGGGCAGGUUAGCUUCAUGGUUAAAAAUGAGGGAUCUGAGCCCAAAUUCCCUGGGUUUGGAAUCUUACUAGUCACAUGGUAUUGGGGAAGUACUAUGAUUUCUCUGUGCCUCAGUUUCCCCAUCUAUAUCAAAAGAGGAGGAGGUAAAGGAUAGUCAUAGCAAUGACUUCACGGGGCCACUGUGCCGGUUUAGUGGGUCAUGACACUAGAGUCUCAAGAAGAGGGCCUGUGCGUGAUGAGUAUUUCAAAGACGUCACUCUUCUCCUUCACUCCUAAUCCUAUGAAAAAUAGUGUUAUGGUCUUAUCCCCACCUGUCAAAUGAGGAAACUAGAUGCACGAAACAGACUUUCUUUAAUAUGUUGUUUAAAUAAAUACUUCGUAUCAUCUUUUUAUACUUAAAAAACUGAAAAGGAAGAAAGAAAUGAAUGUUCUCAUGUUUUGAGAGUGGGGACUUGGGGGACAAUGGGGCUUGGCAAGAUGACGGGAAUAAAUCAAAGAAACAGAGAAAGUUUCAGAGUUCCAGGCCCAGGACUCGGCCAUCGAUUCCUCACGGCAGCAUGAUGACACUGAGCCUGUCCGUGAGAAGCCCAGAGGUGGGAGGAGAGGCCCGAUUUCCACAGACUCUGGAAGGGAGAGGAGAGCCGAUGGGGCACGACUCAGAGCGGGGGGCCCAGCAUCUCCGGGUUGUGGCAGGAAGCGGGAACCAUGGAUCCCAAGCUGUUCCGAAGCUCCUCCGGAACUCUUCAAGGGCAUCGCCGACUCCUCAGAUGACAUCCAUUUGAAUUAAACAGAUCUGUGCCAGACGUCCCAUGUGCGAGAAUGCUGGUGCCAAAAGAAACCGAACACAAGGCUUGUGAGUUGCUGGAGUGGACAUCUUGUUGGAGAGAGGUGAGUCCUGCAUCAGACUUUUAAAAAGACAUCUGGCGGGGACACGAAUAUACCUGGCAGCCCAUGCAAAACGCCCCAGAACUAGAAACAACCCCAAUGCCCAUCUUCAGUAACGCAGAUCUCCACGUGGAGGUCGGGUCCCAGCAAGGAGGGGCAAGGCGCCACCACCACGCUCGACAAUAGGGGUGGACCUCACAAAUACAACGCUGCCGAGGCAAAGAAACCCCAAACAAGAAGUACGACCUGAUGCCGUUUGUGGUGUAAACUCCGUGUCUAUGUCAGGUGUCACACAACGUGUGGAGGGGAGGUGCUAGCUGGAGGGCCACAGCGGGUCUUCCGUUGUGUUUCUGUUACUCAGCUGUGUUCAUUUUGCCAAAGUUCACUGAGGAGUACACUUAUAUUUUUGUGCACUGUUCAGAACAUGUGUGAUAUUUCAAUCCACCCCUCCCUUGCCCACCCCUCACAAUCAGGGGUCAAGUUAGUCCUGGGGUGAACAGAUAGCCCUGGAGUUCUGGAUAAUCAGAAGCUGGAGAAGUG
ensembl:lncRNA